rnacentral:misc_RNA from 1 species
GAUGAAGACGUAGCGAAAUGCGAUAAGUAGUGUGAAUUGCAGAAUUCAGUGAAUCAUCGAAUCUUUGAACGCACAUUGCGCCCCUUGGUAUCCCGAGGGGCAUGCCUGUUCGAGCGUCAUUUCACCACUCAAGCCUGGCUUGGUGUUGGGCGACGUCCCCUUUGGGGACGCGCCUCGAAACGCUCGGCGGCGUGGCACCGGCUUUAAGCGUAGCAGAAUCUUUCGCUUUGGAAGUCGGGGCCCCGUCUGCCGGAAGACCUACUCGCAAGGUUGACCUCGGAUCAGGCAGGGAUACCCGCUGAACUUAAGCAUAUCAAUAAGCGGAGGA